AGAAGAGAGGGAGCGAUGUUCCGGCGGAGGACAUUGCUGGACGCGCUUCGGCGCACCCAGAAACCCUUUGUGAACUUAUACCUACUGUUGCCUCGGCGUCAGGCCGGCCUCUUCACUGAGGCCCCCCGGAGACGGGGAGCAGCCCGCCGGCGGCCAACUAAACUCUUGUUUCUAUAGUGAAUCUCUGAGUAAAAAACAUAAAUGAAUCAGAACUUUCAACAACGGAUCUCUUGGUUCUGGCAUCGAUGAAGAACGCAGCGAAAUGCGAUAAGUAAUGUGAAUUGCAGAAUUCAGUGAAUCAUCGAAUCUUUGAACGCACAUUGCGCCCCCUGGUAUUCCGGGGGGCAUGCCUGUUCGAGCGUCAUUUCAACCCUCACGCCUGGCUUGGUGAUGGGGCACUGCUUCGAGAGGAGCAGGCCCUGAAAUUCAGUGGCGAGCUCGCCAGGACCCCGAGCGUAGUAGUUAUAUCUCGCUGUGGAAGGUCCUGGCGGUGCCCUGCCGUUAAACCCCAGCUUCUGAAAAUUUGACCUCGGAUCAUGUAGGAGUACCCGCUGAACUCACACAUAUCAUAGCCCGUCAA
rnacentral:rRNA from 1 species